AGUGAGGUCUAUCCCAACUGAACCUUAACAAUAGAUUUAUGUUGUUGGAAAUGCCUCAAAGAGUAAACUUGCAGUUUUCGCUUUACCCACUGGAUUAUGCUGUUAAACCAGUGGGAUUGAACUACAAAACAAUU